rnacentral:rRNA from 1 species
UUUUAAUGAGAGUUUGAUCCUGGCUCAGGACGAACGCUGGCGGCGUGCCUAAUACAUGCAAGUAGAACGCUGAAGGAGGAGCUUGCUUCUCUGGAUGAGUUGCGAAC